UCUGGCGCCAGCGUCUAUGGGAGUUUCUUAAGAAGCGUAUCCCCGCAGGCUGGCUGUACCCGGUUUGGAGGCAAACCGGAUGUGACGUGUGCCAGUGGCGUACUCCCUGCCCCCAGAUAGGUACUUGUACGCCUAGGGAAAGACGCUGCUAGGUGCUGCUGCUAAAUCCCUGUGGUUUCUGCCAGCCACAUGCGGCCAUUGCCGGCUCACGUAGGUUCGUUCGCGUGGUCUUGUUACGCCUCGCUAGAUCGUGUUCAGUCAUGCCGUCCUUGCGCGGCGUGAUUGUCGGUGAGUCAGGUUAAAUUCUUAAAUAGGUCGCGCCUGCGCCUAAUUGAGUCUAUAAAAGCCUGCACAUUAAGUUUUGCUAGCUACAAUGCAGUGCGGCUAGCGUGAGCUGUCUCCACGAUGCGCUUCGAGCGUGUCGAUUUCGCCGUUCUUUAUGUUGGCGUUAACGACCUUGAAAGCAACAUGGAUCCACAAGAAAUGUGCGACAACAUCAAGGUAAGUCUACUGAAAUCACAAAAUUUGAAACAAUAAGCGCUAAUAGUUGUGUUUUCUUUUAAAUUUUAGGCCUUGAUUGUUAAACGAGACGGCCCCCGUCGUGCUGGUUUUCAAGGUGCUCCCUCGCUGCCUAGAAGAUGCUGAUGCGGAAUAGAAAAUGCAAAAACGUCGCUUGCUCAACCGCAAAUUGACGGCUACGCUGAAGCGCAUGCCGUGUCUGCGGAAUUUGAACCCCGAGCUUUCCAGAGUUCCUUGGAAAAUCCUCCCAUGCACCUGCCAUGUACAUUGCCCUCCUCCUCGAUGUGGCGUGCAAGAUGGCAGCAGCAGCUGUGGGAACAGUUGAAGAGGCGAAGAAAGGUCCACUUUAUAAUAGGUUGUAUGUAAAUAAAACUGAUCGACCUCAA
rnacentral:lncRNA from 1 species